UACGUAGGGCGCAAGCGUUGUCCGGAAUUAUUGGGCGUAAAGAGCUCGUAGGCGGUUUGUCGCGUCGGAUGUGAAAGCCCGGGGCUUAACCCCGGGUCUGCAUUCGAUACGGGCAGACUAGAGUGUGGUAGGGGAGAUCGGAAUUCCUGGUGUAGCGGUGAAAUGCGCAGAUAUCAGGAGGAACACCGGUGGCGAAGGCGGCGACCUGGGUUGACACUGACGCUGAGGCGCGAAAGCGUGGGGAGCAAACAGG
rnacentral:rRNA from 1 species